rnacentral:tRNA from 1 species
CGAAAUGCGGAGCCGCCUGCGGCGCGGCGGGCCGUUCGAAAUGCGGCGGCUGCGGUUCGAAAUGCGGCUGGGGCCGUUCGAUGCGAGGUGCCUCGAC